GUGAGGAGCACACGGACACACACCCCGCUGACUCAUGCUCCGGCCGUCCCUCUGUCAGCAGCGCUGUCCCGGAGCUGCGCCCGCCCGCCGGGCGGUGCCUCCUCGCUCCAGUGUGUGGAGAGCAGGAAAUGCGCCUGUGUUUGUGGGUGUCGUGUAGAGAGCGGACCUCCCUCUUCCGUGUGACCGAGGAGCAGCCGGUCUGACGCGCACAGAGGACUGCGCUGCGGUCAGAGGAACAAGGCACAGGCCGUGUUCACCUUUUGCGCUUAGCCGCGACGCGUUGGUCCUGAGCCGUGAGGACAGAGCAGAAUGCCCGUGAAAGGAGGCGGAAGGCUGGCCUCUUACCCCAGCAAAGGCGACAACAUUGGGGGCUCAGCAAUGGAGGAGACAGUGUGGGAGCAGUACACAGUCACUCUGCAGCGGGACCCAAAGAUGGGCUUCGGAAUGGCGGUGUCUGGGGGGCGGGACAACCCAAACGUGGACAGCGGGGAGACCUCCAUCAUGGUGUCUGAUGUACUACAGGGGGGACCGGCGGACGGGCUGCUCUUUGAGAAGGACCGGGUCAUUCAGGUCAAUGCUAUCUCGAUGGACAACGUGCCUCAUUCCUUUGCUGUGCAGUCACUUCGUAAAUGUGGCAAAGUGGCCAAGAUUACAGUGAAACGUGCCCGGAAGGUGCCAGUCCACUCCCUGAAGCCUCCCCCCUCCCCUGGCGCUCAAAGCCAGGACUACCCCCCCACGCACUACUACGACACAGACACCGACAGUGCCUGGUACCGCGAGCAGAGAGAGCCCUCAGAUGAGUACAGAGGAGGGCGAGGCCGCAGCCGGGACAGGCGCUCCCCCAGCCCUGAGCGGCCGCGGCGGGACGGCAGCCGAGGCCGUGCCCUGGACCCCAGCACAGAGCGCCACAGGUACCCUAGCAGGGGGCGCAGCCCAGGGGACAGCUACGAACGCGGAGGGAGUAAAGGACAAUACCGCAGCAGAGAGGGACUCAACGACCCCUCCCCUCCACCCCGCGACCUGGAGCCUCUGGACAAACCCAUCAACGUCAUGCUGGUCAAGAACCGUCCCAGUGAAGAGUACGGCCUGCGUCUGGGGAGUCAGAUUUUCAUCAAACAGAUGACCUCCAGUGGGCUUGCUGCCAAGGACGGGAACCUGCAGGAGGGAGACAUUAUCCUCAAGAUCAAUGGGACGGUGACUGAAAACCUGUCUCUGCAUGACGCGGGGAAGCUGAUUGAGAAGUCUCGGGGCAAACUGCAGCUGGUGGUUCAGAGGGACCAGCGGCAGAUCCUGGUGCGCAUACCCCCGCUGGCCGACUCCGACUCUGACAACGAUGACAUCUCUGAACUGGAGUCAUAUCACUCGUACUCGCCUCCAGAGGGCAGGAGGUCGCACCAGUCGGACCUAUCUUCUCACUCCUCCAAUGACAGAGACAACCCCAGGGAUGAGUUGACCACAGCUGCUGACCUGUCCACUGUGAGUUCCCCCUUCAGAGGACCAGAACCCAGGGCCUCCGAGCAGAGCCAGCCCAGGCACACCCCCGCGGACAGCCAGCCUCCUGCAUCUGCGACUAAUACGCCCAAGAUCCAGCUCCGGCUGAGCCCAGAAGAGGAGAAGCUGUAUGGGCCCAACACAGUGAUGGUAACCUUCCAGAAGGGGGACAGUGUGGGGCUGCGGCUGGCCGGGGGAAACGACGUGGGCAUCUUCAUCGCUGGGGUCCAGGAGGGCAGCCCCGCAGAGGAGGAAGGCCUGCGCACUGGGGACCGCAUCCUCAAGGUGAACCAGGUGGACUUUCAGGGUGUAGUGCGUGAGGAAGCCGUACUCUUCCUCCUAGAGAUCCCUAAAGGAGACCUGGUCACCAUCCUGGCCCAGAGCAAACCGGAUGUGUACAAUGACAUCCUGGUGUCUGGCCGGGGGGAUUCCUUCUUCAUCCGCACACACUUCCGUUACGAGAAGGAGAGCCCCCAGUGCCUUGCGUUCGGCCGCGGCGAGCUCUUCAAAGUGGUGGACACGCUGUACGAUGGCAAACUAGGCAACUGGCUGGCCAUCCGCGUAGGCAGGGACAUGCAGCUGAUGGAAAAAGGCAUCAUCCCCAACAAGAGCCGGGCGGAGCAGAUGGCCAGCGUACAGUCGUCCCAGCGUGGCCUGCCUGCAGACAGGGGGGACUUCUGGAGGCUCCGGGCUCAGCGCUCCAUGAAGAGGAAGGACGUACGGAGGAGUCGAGAAGCCGCCAGCACCCUGCCCACCUCUACGCCUUUCCCUGCCUACGAGCGUGUGGUGCUGCGAGAAGCGGGCUUCCGUCGGCCUGUGGUCCUGUUUGGGCCCAUCACAGAUGCUGCCACCGAAAGGCUGGCCGCAGAGAUGCCCGACCAGUUUGUCAUCGCCAAAACGGAGCCCAAAGAUGCCGGAUCUGAGAAGUCGUCAGGAGUAGUACGUCUCAACACUAUUCGACAGAUCAUUGAACAGGAUAAGCAUGCGCUGCUGGAUGUCACCCCCAGAGCAGUGGACACUCUGAACUACAGCCAGUGGUACCCCAUCGUCAUCUUCUUCAACCCAGACAGCAAGCACGGCGUCAAGGCCAUGAGGCAGCGGCUCAUGCCCAACUCCAACCGCAGUGCCCGCAAACUCUAUGAACAGGCCCUCAAACUGAAAAAGGGCUAUACGCACCUCUUCACCUCCAUAAUCGACUUGAACUCGACCAACGAUGCCUGGUACGGUAGUUUGAAAGAGGCCAUCCGCGAGCAGCAGGCACAGCCUGUCUGGGUCUCUGACGGCAAGCUGGAGGCAGUAGAGAGUGAGCUGGAGAGCACUGACGUGGAGCGCCUGUCCUUCCUGUCGGCCAUGUCGGCUGACUACCUGAGCAUGGACAGCCGCCUGACCUCUGACCUCGAUGAUACGGCAGACGAGGGCGGAGUCUACACGGAUAACGACCUGGACAUGGACGCCAUGCAGGUGUCUGCCAUCAGCCGCUCCUCCGAACCUGUGUCUGCUGACCAGAUACUGCGCAGGUACAGUCCAGAGAUCCGCUUCCGCCUGAAGAAGAUGUGCAGUGGAGACCUGCUGACCAGAGCCCACAGUCCUCCAGCAUUUCCCCCGGACAGCAAGGCAGCGCUGCUCUCAGGGCGUCCCCUCCAGCACCACCCUCCUCCACCCAGCUACGACUCUCCAUCCAGCAGCAGCCCAUCAAGCAGCACCGAGCCUCAGACACACACCACAUACGGACCCCCGCCCCCACUGCCCCCCACAGCCCUCUGCAGUUCUUUCAGGGCACCACAACAGCCCCAGGCAGUAUCCCAGACUGCCCCACCCACAGACAUGCCCCCGUCCAUGGCCCUGCCCCCUGCCACACUGGAGGGGCUGGAGGAGGACAGCUCGGAUGUAGACCCCUCCACGCGGUCGUUCCAGGGGAAGAUUAGGGCGUUUGAGAAGAUGGAUCACAUGGCCCGCGCUCAGAGGCUGCUGCAGCUGCAGGAGGCACACAGGGCUCGGCAGGAGAUCGCUCAGAAACACCCAGACAUCUACGCAGUUCCUGUGAAGACCGCCAAACUGGACCACAGCCGCCCACAGCCUAUCGGCUCCAGCACAGCAUCGCAGCCCUCCUCUGGACCACAGGAGGGAGCCGUCUUCUGUCCAGGCCCUGGGUCAGGGGUGGAGCAGCAGUACCAGGACACAGAGUUGUAGCUGCACUGGACUCCUGUAUUCUGUCUUUUAUUUUGGCUGUACUCAAGCAGAGGUUCUUUGGGCUUUGGACAGUCUCCAUGGAGAUAAGUGGACAUGUGUAGUUCAACGGUCUCCUUGGAGAUAGGCGUAUGGAGUUGGGCUGCCUCCAUAGUGACAGUGGACACAUGUAGUUAGACGGUCUCCUUGGAGAUGGGUGGAGAGUUGCAUUUCUGUUGUGGCCUCAGUCUGGGCUCCAGGAGUGACCACACUGCACUUUUAUCUUUGCCUAUGCAAUUUUUUAUUUGUCCACAGCUUCUUUGUUUCUGAUGAACACGGACCCACUUAUGCUGAAGCAUCUUUCUCCUCCUUUUAUAAGCUAUUAUAUAUGUUAUCUCUGAGCUACAAAGUUACACUAUAUAUUAUUACUUGGUAAAUAGGAUAUAUGCUAUAUAUUCCAUAUCUAAUAUAUUUAUACACAGUUUUAAUCUUUACUUUUUAUAUUAAAAAUGUACACACACACACACACACACACAUAUAUACAUAUAUAUAUAUAGCAUACUGUUAUGUAUAUAAAGGAAAUGUUUUCACUCGAGUUUGACCCGGUAUUUUAAAGUGCCUCUUAUUUUUUUAUGCACAUGAGCUGUGGUCAGGACUCUGAAAAUUGGGUCAAUAUAAAUGUGUCGAUGGUAACAUAAGCACUCUUCAGUGGUCAGAAUCCUGCAUGCACUCUAACAUGGAGAUACUGGUCUUGGUCUUUUGGUACGAGGCUAUUUUAGCCUAGUGGGACUACUAAAUCCUUUUUUUUUUUGCUACUAAACUUUGUACAGUGUUAAAGUAGCAUUUUCUACUGCCCCCAGUCUAUUUUUGCCCUUUUAGAGCAAAUAGGUUAAUUUUACAGCAUUGUGGUUUAAAAUGGUAAAAAUCUGUCUCUCCUACCCCUCACCCUUUAGCCCCUACACACUUUCCCCUUUAGUCCUCCAGACAGACCCCAUGCUUCUUCCCCCCCUCUUUUUUACUACCUUCCUGUGCCUCUGUUGGCACAUAAGGUACAGAGCAUCCUUCUUCAAUGGACCCUGUCCUUGGCACUGGUCUCUAGCUGUUCCAUUGUCAUCCUACAGGGCUGUGCAUCCCAUCUCCUUUUUCUCUUUAGAGUUUCUUUGGGCCUUCCUUUGUUUCUUCUAUUUGUCGGUGACCAUCUCCAAGCUUGUAGGUAGAUCCUGGUGUUUUGCAUCCUUAUAACAUGCCCCCAGUAUGACUUCAAUAUAUCUUGCUUUCACCAUUUCUAGGAUGUGUUUCAGUUUUGCUUUUUUAAGCACUUCUUCAUUUCUGAUGUGCUGGAACCACUUGAUUUUAAAAUAAUCUCUCCUUACUCUCUCCACUUUAAUCCUCUAGACUUCUCCUCCUCACUCUCCUCUUUAGUCCUCCAGAGCCCACUCUCGCUCCUUUCUCACUCUACCUUUUAGUCCUCCAGGUUUAACAGUCAGAGUUGAGUCUUUAAUCCUGUGCCUAAUGUCCAAAGUCCAGACCAAGUACAUUUCACUUUUGCCACCUCUUCUAUAUCCUGUGCUAACAUGAACCUCGCACAGCGAGGGUUCUCCAGUACCCUAGGGCCUCCCAGUACUCCAUGCCCUAUUUUGCACCACCACCUUAAACACCAUUGAGAGGAGCACAGAGCAGGGCCUUCAUAUGAGCAGCAUCCUGGGCUCACACAAAGUGCAAGACAAUCCAGGUCCUGUACUAUGCAUACAAUACUAGACAACUAUUAGUUUUUCUCUUUACCUCUGUGGACUAUUUAGUCUUGAAAAAUACGCCAGGAAUGAAAUCUGUUCUAAAAUGCUAAUGAGUAAGAAUCAGGUUGUGUGAAGUUGUUAGCAACAAGUUUGGUGAAAAUAUAACCUAAUUAUUCAGCAUUAUGAACCCCAAUUUAAUGAGGUACAACAUUAUAACAUGGUUAUAAUGCUCAAUGACAAAAUCAACAAGCCACCAGAGCAAUGGCGAAACAAAUAUGAGUUUAAUAGGUUUGCUUUCAUGUAACAGAAUUUGAUGUCAUAAUCUGAGAUCGAGGGCAGGGAUCUGUAUAAUUCUAUGGGAGAUUUACUGUUUUUAAAAGAACUCUCCAACCCUAUGAACC